rnacentral:misc_RNA from 1 species
CCAUCCCCUCAAGCUCCGCUUGGCUGGUUGGGCCCGCGUCCACCGGUGGUGGACGGGCCUGAAAGGCAGUGGCGGCUCCCGGGGACUCUGGUCCCUGGGGCGGUGAUGCAUGGGUCUCUUCAUCCACCGUCCCACGGGCCAUGCCCCGGGAGUCGGUCGAACGAUCGGUCUUCCCCUGUA